UUUUCAAUUUGCUGUAACUCUGAACAUUUUUAGAAUACAAUGUUAGGACCCGAAUUCCCACAACAAAAGAUAACUCCACUGUUCACACUGAGGGCGCAUCCUGCCAGUCUCUUUAUUGCAAACAAUAGCAAGAAAAUGUAGCACGUUAUGGGGUGCUUACAGUGAGCUGGCAACAGUCCUGAGCUUCUGACAGCCAUUAUUUCAUUCAAUCUUCCUAACCCUUUACGGGCACUUUUAUGACCUAUUUUUCACAGAUGACAAAACCAAAGCUCAGAGAUGAAAUGAUUUGCUCACACCACAGAGACUGCGUGAACAAUUGACACAGGGUUUGAAGCAGGUUUUGUCGGAUUCUAGAGUGGGGCUUUGAGCAACCAUGGGACCCCUCCCUCCACCUGUCCCAUUGGCCAGAACUUAGUCACGUGGCCAUGCCUAGCUAGAAGGCCCUUGGCCUCUGUAAGGCUGUCUCUGUCUCUCUGUAUCUGUUCUGGGAACCGCUCAUACUGGGGCUCCCCUAUGACAUGGCCAUAUCUCUCCUUUGAGACUGGGGUUCUUGAAGGGCAGAGGUGUGUCUUGCCCCCUGGAUGAGGGCUCCCUAAGAAGAAUGAUUUUUCCCCUCCCUCCAAGGGCAGGAUCUAUGUCCCCUUGUCCUGGUGUCCUCUUCCACCCCCAUGCUCAGCAGGGCACCCUGGUGUUUCCUGGGAUGUGGAGUCCCAUGGGGCCUGACUGGCUGAUAAGGAGCCAUUUCCGGAGAAUGCAGGUGAUUGAACCCAUAAAAUGGUGACAGAGAGCCCUGAACUCCCCAUCUCAGGAGAGCUCUAAAAAUAGCACCCACAGCCAUCUGUCCUGGGGCUGGAGGGGCUGGCUCAGAACCAAGGGCCUGGACAAGUUGGCCCCAUCAGUCCCUAUGGGCUGAUGGGACAUCUGGAAGUACUGGAGGUCUGGGGAGGCCAGGGAGAGGAAGCUGGAAGGGCUUUAUGGGGAGACCUUCCCACAGCCCUUUCUCCUCCUGGGCAGGUGGGUUUGAGGGGGUUGGCAGUCUGAAGGUCCUUCCCCUACUCCGCCUCUCAGAGUGGGUGUGGGCCCUAGACUUAGUCUUCGGGUCCCUGCUCCCAGGCCUGCCUCUGGCGCCCCAAUGGCUACUCCAGGUGCUGAGCCUUUCUGCCCCUCACAAUUGAGAGGUCCUCUUCCUGGGUUCUGCCUCACCCUGCUUUUCCUGUUUGAAUCUUGGGUGAGCUUGGCUGCUCCAUCACCUCCCAGGGCUUCAGUUUCCUCAUCUGGAAAAUGGAGAUAAACUCAGCUCAUCGUCUUGUGA
rnacentral:lncRNA from 1 species